AUUGAACGCUGGCGGCAGGCCUAACACAUGCAAGUCGAACGAGUGGCGGACGGGUGAGUAAUGUCUGGGAAACUGCCUGAUGGAGGGGGAUAACUACUGGAAACGGUAGCUAAUACCGCAUACCUUCAGAUGUGCCCUGAUGGGCUUUGCUAGUUGGUGGGGUAACGGCUCACAAAGGCGACGAUCCCUAGCUGGUCUGAGAGGAUGACCAGCCGCACUGGAACUGAGACACGGGCCAGACGCCUACGGGUGGCGGCAGUGGGGAAUAUUGGACAGUGGGCGAAAGCCUGAUGCAGACAUGCCGCGUGUAUGAAGAAGUCCUUCGGGAUGUAAAGUACUUUCAGCGGGGAGGCGUUACCCGCAGAAGAAGCACCGGCUAACUCCGUGCCAGCAGCCGCGGUAAUUC
rnacentral:rRNA from 1 species